GAUGAAGAACGUAGCGAAAUGCGAUAAGUAAUGUGAAUUGCAGAAUUCAGUGAAUCAUCGAAUCUUUGAACGCACAUUGCGCCCUUUGGUAUUCCUUAGGGCAUGCCUGUUCGAGCGUCAUUUAAACCUUCAAGCUAAGCUUGGUGUUGGGUGACUGUCCGCUUCACGGCGGACUCGCCUCAAAAUUAUUGGCGGCCGGUACAUUGGCUUCGAGCGCAGCAGAAACGCGAACUCGGGCCCGUCGUAUUGGCUCCCAGAAGCUAUCUUCACAAUUUUGACCUCGGAUCAGGUAGGGAUACCCGCUGAACUUAAGCAUAUCAAUAAGCGGAGGA
rnacentral:misc_RNA from 1 species